GACGAACGCUGGCGGCGUGCUUAACACAUGCAAGUCGAACGGUGAAGCGCCUUCCUUUUUGGUGGGUGUGGAUGAGUGGCGAACGGGUGAGUAACACGUGAGUAACCUGCCCCCCUCUUCUGGAUAACCGCAUGAAAGUGUGGCUAAUACGGGAUAUUCUGGGUCUGUCGCAUGAUGGGUCUGGGAAAGAUAUUGUUUCGGUGGGGGAUGGGCUCGCGGCCUAUCAGCUUGUUGGUGGGGUGAUGGCCUACCAAGGCGGUGACGGGUAGCCGGCCUGAGAGGGUGGACGGUCACACUGGGACUGAGACACGGCCCAGACUCCUACGGGAGGCAGCAGUGGGGAAUAUUGCACAAUGGGCGCAAGCCUGAUGCAGCGACGCCGCGUGAGGGAUGGAGGCCUGCGGGUUGUGAACCUCUUUCGCCAGUGAAGCAGGCCUGCCUCGUUUGUGGGUGGGUUGACGGUAGCUGGAUAAGAAGCGCCGGCUAACUACGUG
rnacentral:rRNA from 1 species